rnacentral:tRNA from 1 species
GCCUGUAUGGCUCAGUUGGUUGAGUGUCUGACUCUAGGUUUCAGCUCAGGUCAUGAUCUCCUAGUUGUGGGAUCAAGCCCCACAUCAGGCU